GUCUGCAAGAGAGGCCUUGGAAUCCGUGGCCAAUACUUAAUUCACACCAUAGGUUUCCUUUUAUCAUCUUCUUUCUUUUCUCUUAUGGAUACAAGUUGCUCUUUCGGUGUCCUGAAGAUAAAAGGGAAAGAAUCCAAUCGUUCUUCUUCAUCAGCCAAGAAUUGUUGGGUUACAAUUAUCCAAUGGUGCAUCUAAGUCUAACUGUUAGAUUUACGAAAUUAAUGGCAUGUAAGAGUUGGGGUGGGAGAGUUUUAUAAGAUGGGGAAAAGCUUUCCCUUCUUUUGCAGUUCAAAGCAAGUAAAAAUUUAUAGUUGGA
rnacentral:misc_RNA from 1 species